rnacentral:rRNA from 1 species
UGGGGAAUCUUCCGCAAUGGGCGCCAGCCUGACGGAGCAAUACCGCGUGAGGGAGGAAGGCUCUUGGGUUGUAAACCUCUUUUCUCAGGGAAGAAUCCUGACGGUACCUGAGGAAUCAGCAUCGGCUAACUCCGUGCCAGCAGCCGCGGUAAUACGGAGGAUGCAAGCGUUAUCCGGAAUUAUUGGGCGUAAAGCGUCCGCAGGUGGCUUAUCAAGUCUGCUGUUAAAGCGCAGGGCUCAACUCUGUAAGGGCAGUGGAAACUGAUAGGCUAGAGUACGGUAGGGGCAGAGGGAAUUCCCAGUGUAGCGGUGAAAUGCGUAGAUAUUGGGAAGAACACCAGUGGCGAAGGCGCUCUGCUGGGCCGUAACUGACACUGAGGGACGAAAGCUAGGGGAGCGAAAGGGAUUAGAUACCCGUGUAGUCC